rnacentral:rRNA from 1 species
CCUACGGGAGGCAGCAGUGAGGAAUAUUGGUCAAUGGGCGUAAGCCUGAACCAGCCAAGUCGCGUGAGGGAUGAAGGUUCUAUGGAUCGUAAACCUCUUUUAUAAGGGGAUAAAGUGCGGGACGUGUCCCGUUUUGGAUGUACCUUAUGAAUAAGGAUCGGCUAACUCAGUGCCAGCAGCCGCGGUAAUACGGAGGAUCCGAGCGUUAUCCGGAUUUGUUGGGUUUAAAGGGUGCGUAGGCGGGCUUUUAAGUUAGCGGUGAAAGUCUGGGGCUCAACCUGAGAAUUGCCGUGUAUACUGGGAGGCUUGAGUAUGUUAGAGGCAGGCGGAAUGCGUGGUGUAGCGGUGAAAUGCUUAGAGAUCACGCAGAACCCCGAUGGCGAAGGCAGCCUGCCAAGCCAUGACUGACGCUGAUGCACGAAAGCGUGGGGAGCAAACAGGAUUAGAUACCCGUGUAGUC